AAGGAUUUAAGUUAAACCAAAACUAAUAGCCUUCAAAGCUGUAAAUAAAGAAAAAUUUACCAAGCUUUAAGCCUUA
rnacentral:tRNA from 1 species